GAGUGAUUGUGAGAGCGACUGGAUUUCUUUUCACUCUAUUGGGUUUUGCAGUCACAGCAAGGACACAAAUUAGAUGAGCCCUGGUAUGUCUCCACACCGCAUGCCACGGAGGAUGACAGAUAUUCUCAUGGGAAAUGUGGGCCUGGCCCACAUCACAAGCCAGCUGUGAGGCUACAAUCAAACAAUCUCCUGCAGGGAGGGCCUCUUGGGGAACACUGACAUCAGUGCACAGGAAUGAGCUAAUAUGCUCCAAUAAUGAGGCAUGGGUAAA